rnacentral:rRNA from 1 species
UACGAAGGGGGCUAGCGUUGCUCGGAUUGACUGGGCGUAAAGGGCGCGUAGGCGGUUCGUACAGUCAGACGUGAAAUUCCUGGGCUCAACCUGGGGGCUGCGUUUGAUACGUGCGGGCUUGAGUGCGGAAGAGGGUCGUGGAAUUCCCAGUGUAGAGGUGAAAUUCGUAGAUAUUGGGAAGAACACCGGUGGCGAAGGCGGCGACCUGGUCCGAUACUGACGCUGAGGCACGAAGGCCAGGGGAGCAAACGGG